AAAGAUGUUGAUGGAGGCCAUUCAUCCAGAUC
rnacentral:piRNA from 1 species